CAGAGAAUAGUUUCAAAAAGAACAU
rnacentral:tRNA from 1 species